rnacentral:rRNA from 1 species
AUUGAACGCUGGCGGCAGGCCUAACACAUGCAAGUCGAACGAGUGGCGGACGGGUGAGUAAUGUCUGGGAAACUGCCCGAUGGAGGGGGAUAACUACUGGAAACUGUAGCUAAUACCGCAUACCAUCGGAUGUGCCCAAAUGGGAUUAGCUAGUUGGUGGGGUAACGGCUCACCAAGGCGACGAUCCCUAGCUGGUCUGAGAGGAUGACCAGCCACACUGGAACUGAGACACGGUCCAGACUCCUACGGGAGGCAGCAGUGGGGAAUAUUGCACAAUGGGGGCAAGCCUGACGCAGCCAUGCCGCGUGUAUGAAGAAGGCCUUAGGGUUGUAAAGUACUUUCAGCGAGGAGGCGUUACCCGCAGAAGAAGCACCGGCUAACUCCGUGCCAGCCGCCGCGGUAAUAC